rnacentral:rRNA from 1 species
GCUCGUAGUCGGAUUUCUGGAUUUGGGACUUGGUCCGUACCUCACGGUAUGUGUACUUUGUUCCUGAAUCCAUAUUCGGGGAAAACCAGCGGCAUUUAGUUGUCUGUUGGGUUCCUUUCCCCGUCGUUUACUGUGAGCAAAAUAGAGUGUUCAAAGCAGGCUUAUGCCGGUUGAAUACAUUAGCAUGGAAUAAUAAGAUAAGACCUUGGUAUUAUUUUGUUGGUUUGCAUUCCAAGGUAAUGAUUGAUUGGGACAGUUGGGGGUAUUCGUAUUCAAUUGUCAGAGGUGAAAUUCUUGGAUUUAUGGAAGACGAACUACUGCGAAAGCUUUUACCAAGGAUGUUUUCUUAGAUCAAGAACGAAAGUAAGGGGGAUCGAAAGAUGAUUAGAUACCAUCGUAGUCUUUUACCAUAAACUAUGCCCGACUAGGGGAUUGGUGGGACGUUUUUUAUGACUCCCAUCAGCACCUUUAUGAGAAAAUCAAAAGUCUUUUGGGGUUCGGGGGGGGAGUAUUGGCCGCAAGGGCUGAAAACUUAAAAGGAAAUUGACGGGAAGGGCCACCACCCAGCAGUGGAGCCUGCGGCUUAAAUUUGGACUCAAACACGGGGGAAACUCCACCAGGUCCCAGGACAUAGUGGAGGAUUGACAAGAUUGAGAGCUCUUUCUU